GGAGGGGUGGGUGAGUGGCUGAAACCAACGGUUUGCUAAACCGUCGUACUGGGUAAACCGGUACCGAGGGUUCGAAUCCCUCCCCCUCCGCAA
rnacentral:tRNA from 2 species